rnacentral:rRNA from 1 species
AAUUUAUAAUUAAUUAAACAAAAAUAAAUUAUAUAUUAGCAAAAAAAUUUAAUAAUAAAAAAAAUUAAUUUAUUUUUUUAAUUAAUAAGAUAAUAUUUAAUAGCGUGCCAGCAAAUGCGGUUAAACGAUUAUUUCAAAUUAAUUUAUUAUUUAAACUAGCAAUUAAUAUAAAGAAAAUAUUUAUAGUAAUAUAUAUAUAUAUAAAUAAUUUCUAAAGUAAAAAAAUAAAAAAUAAAUAAAUUGGAUUAGAUACCCAAGUAAUAAAACUUUUAAGUAUUAAAUUUAUAAAAUUAAACUAGAAUUUUAUGGCGGUAAAAUAUUUUAAUUAGAGGGUCUUGAUUUUUAAUAGAAAAUACACAAUAAAAUAAACUUUUUUUUUAAAUUUAUAUAUCUCCGUAAAAAAAAUAUAAUUUUUUAUAUAAAUAAAAUUUUAUAUUAUAGGUCAAGAUAUAAUUAAAAUAAAAGAUAAAUUUAGACACAAAAAUUAAAGUAAAAAAAACAGAAUCUAAAAGUAAAUAUUUUUUUAAAAAUAUAAUGAAAAAUUUAUUUUAUGUACAUAUUGCCCAUCACUUUCAUUAUAAAAUGAAAUAAGUUGAAACAUAGUAGAAAUAUAAGAAUAUGUUUCUAAA